rnacentral:tRNA from 3 species
AUAAAGUUGGCAGAUAUAUGUGAAUAAUUUAGGGUUAUUUUAUAAGAUUAAUAUAAAUCUUACUUUAUA